UACAGGGGGGGCAAGCGUUGUUCGGAAUUACUGGGCGUAAAGGGUCUGUAGGUGGCCAACUAAGUCAUCCGUGAAAUCCCUCAGCUUAACUGGGGAACUGCGUGUGAUACUGGUUGGCUUGAGUGCAGGAGAGGAACGCGGAAUUCCAGGUGUAGCGGUGAAAUGCGUAGAUAUCUGGAGGAACACCGGUGGCGAAGGCGGCGUUCUGGACUGCAACUGACACUGAGAGACGAAAGCCAGGGGAGCAAACGGG
rnacentral:rRNA from 1 species